rnacentral:rRNA from 1 species
GAUGAACGCUAGCGACAGGCUUAACACAUGCAAGUCGAGGGGCAGCGAGGGCGUAGCAAUACGCCUGUCGGCGACCGGCGCACUGGUGAGUAACACGUAUGCGACCUGCCCCCUACAGGGGGAUAACCCGUAGAAAUGCGGACUAAUCCCCCAUAGUCCUGGGUGCUGCAUGGCAUUCAGGGGAAAGGCCAGCCGGUAGGGGAUGGGCAUGCGGCGCAUUAGCUAGUUGGCGGGGCAACGGCCCACCAAGGCGACGAUGCGUAGGGGUUCUGAGAGGAAGGUCCCCCACACUGGUACUGAGACACGGACCAGACUCCUACGGGAGGCAGCAGUGAGGAAUAUUGGUCAAUGGGCGCAGGCCUGAACCAGCCAAGUCGCGUGAGGGAAGACGGUCCUACGGGAUUGUAAAACCCUCUUUUUGUCGGGGGAGUAACGUGCGGGACGCGUCCCGUAUUGAGAGUACCCGAAGAAAAAGCAUCGGCUAACUCCGUG